GAAGCGUUUUCCGUGCUGGACUGUGUACAAGUUUCCUGGAUACGGAACAUCAUAGAGGGUGAGAAUCCCGUCCUUGACACAGACUCCCAGUACUUUGUGAUGCGCUCUCGAC
rnacentral:rRNA from 1 species